CAAAGCACUCCACUUGUUUGGUAAGUAUUGAAGGUCGAUAAUUAAUUAUUAGGAAAUAGUUGUGAGCCACCUAAUCAUGAUACAUUUUUUUAUGUUCAGAACAGACUCUUCGAUAGACCGUAAUGUUUGUGAUAACAUGGCAUUUACCGACCAAAAGUGGCCAAAUCAUUCUGAUGGUACAGUGAUGAGUCGUGAAUGCCUGGUAGGCUUCUUGUGUGAUGAUAUAAAGCAGUCCAUGUACAUUGCAGAAGGGAGAGAUUCCAAGCCUGUUUUUGACACUUGGAUAGUCUUUAAUUUGAUAGCAUCACUUGCUAGUCCAUAGAUAUUGUUUGUUUUGUAGAUUAACUAGGGUGCUCUUCUAAAGAAGCCUUAAACUAUAGCAAUCUUCUCUCUAAGUCAACAAUUGCUGCUUUCAGUUCACUCGGUGCUCUUUUUGUUAUCAGAUAAAGCGAGUCCAACAUCUUUGUAUAAUAUCAGACCUCCGUUGAUGGCAUUGUAUCUAAUCCAACACACUGCUCGAGUGGGUAUGCUUUUGCAUGGGAAAGCAGUUAUCCUCUUGAUUCUUUAUAGAUGAGGAACAAAAAAAUAAGCAACAAAGGUUUCCAAGGAGGUGGUGGACCUUUACAUGAGCUAAAGCAGGGAGGGAUGCUCACGUUUCCUCAAACAACAGGACUGCCGAGAGACCCGACUGUUUUUUUUAAGGCACCGUCCUUGCUUUGCUGAUGCCAAACAGUAUCGACAUGUAGUAUUGAUCUCAGCAAGGAAAAGAUCCUCCCAGCUGCAGGAAGGUCAGAAUUAAACUUUGUGCAUGUUGCAGUCAAGGCAUCAGUUCAUUGGUUCCUACUCACUUUUGAGAGAAGCAAAGGAGAAGAAAUGUCUUCUCCUUCCCACUGCCUGCAGCCUGAUCCAUGCUGCAGCAGUCAGUCGCUUCCUUACCUGAGAGGAAGGUUAAAUGUCUACACCAUCAACAUAUUUAGCUGUAAUUAUG